AUUGAACGCUGGCGGCAGGCAUAACACAUGCAAGUCGAACGAGUGGCGGACGGGUGAGUAAUGCAUGGGAAUCUGGCUUAUGGAGGGGGAUCACUACGGGAAACUGUAGCUAAUACCGCGUACCAUAGGAUGAGCCCAAGUGGGAUUAGGUAGUUGGUGAGGUAAAGGCUCACCAAGGCGACGAUCCCUAGCUGGUCUGAGAGGAUGACCAGCCACACUGGGACUGAGACACGGCCCAGACUCCUACGGGAGGCAGCAGUGGGGAAUAUUGCGCAAUGGGGGCAAGCCUGAUGCAGCCAUGCCGCGUGUAUGAAGAAGGUCUUCGGAUUGUAAAGUUCUUUAGGUUGGGAGGCGUUACCUACAGAAGAAGCACCGGCUAACUUCGUGCCAGCAGCCGCGGUAAUUC
rnacentral:rRNA from 1 species